rnacentral:rRNA from 1 species
UACAGGGGGGGCAAGCGUUGUUCGGAAUUACUGGGCGUAAAGGGCUCGUAGGUGGCCAACUAAGUCAGACGUGAAAUCCCUCAGCUUAACUGGGGAACUGCGUCUGAUACUGGAUGGCUUGAGUUUGGGAGAGGGAUGCGGAAUUCCAGGUGUAGCGGUGAAAUGCGUAGAUAUCUGGAGGAACACCGGUGGCGAAGGCGGCAUCCUGGACCACAACUGACGCUGAGGCGCGAAAGCGUGGGGAGCAAACAGG